UACGUAGGGGGCGAGCGUUGUCCGGAUUCAUUGGGCGUAAAGAGCUCGUAGGCGGCUUGGCAAGUCGGGUGUGAAACCUCCAGGCUCAACCUGGAGCUGCCACUCGAUACUGCCAUGGCUUGAGUCCGGUAGGGGACCACGGAAUUCCUGGUGUAGCGGUGAAAUGCGCAGAUAUCAGGAGGAACACCGGUGGCGAAGGCGGUGGUCUGGGCCGGUACUGACGCUGAUGAGCGAAAGCGUGGGGAGCGAACAGG
rnacentral:rRNA from 1 species